UACGAAGGGGGCUAGCGUUGCUCGGAAUCACUGGGCGUAAAGGGUGCGUAGGCGGGUCUUUAAGUCAGGGGGGAAAUCCUGGAGCUCAACUCCAGAACUGCCUUUGAUACUGAGGAUCUUGAGUUCGGGAGAGGUGAGUGGAACUGCGAGUGUAGAGGUGAAAUUCGUAGAUAUUCGGAAGAACACCAGUGGCGAAGGCGACUUACUGGACACAUAUUGACGCUGAGGUGCGAAAGCGUGGGGAGCAAACAGG
rnacentral:rRNA from 1 species